AACCUGGUUCUGUCUGAUCCAUUGCCUGUAUCUAAGUAGCUGCAAAGUCAUGUCAUGGCAUUUGAUGAGUCUGACUUCUCCAACUAGUGAUAUGGGCUCAAAUUCCCCUCUGUUGUCUCAUUUCAUCAGAACUUCCCCUGUGGUUUUGACGCAAGACAUCCCCCGUUCAUCGGAGUGAGCUGGCUCAGUCUCCACCCAGCACGUCUAUUCCUGUGUGUGGACUAGAGUUCUCUCUGUGAAGGAGCAGCCCAGCCAGGAAUCACACUUUUCCCUUGCUGUUUUGCAUCAGAGAGGGACCAACCGACUCAUUCUCCGAGGGGAACAGGAAUUUGUCCCCAGCUCAUCUGGGCCCAACUCAUCUGUCAUCCUGGCUUCAUGUAUUCCUGUUCUGCAUCCAACUUGGUGGCUGCAGCUGAUUACCUGAAGGACCCAGGAACCCAGGGUGAGUUUGCUGAGGGCAUCUGCCUAGCUGGGGCCCAACCCUCCGGACUGUGGGGCUGAGAACCAUAAAGUGAUAAUCACACGGCAGGGCAACAGCAGAGAGGAGCAGGGCCUUAAUAACAUGAUGUGAUGUGAGUGUGGGGUGGGGCUGUGGAGCUGCCCCACCCACACACGCCUUGCCAACCCUGCAUCAUUCUAGCAGGGCUGCAUUCCUGGCCUCGAAUGUAAUGCUCGUUAGAUUGCUUUCAAAUUUGGCUGGAUGCAAUAAUUGCACUCUUCUUUCUAACCACCUCAGUAUCUGCGAAGUGGGAGGAUGUCUGCCCUCUCUGCACCACGCAGGUUUCCAGGUGGGCAGUGCUUCUGUCUGACUUGUACAGUUGGUCUGAGGCCAUUGUCUCCAAACUAUGAUCUGAAGUUUGCUUGAAUCAGAAUCUGGUAGCAUGAUGGUCAAAAUGACAAUGACUGGGCUUCUCACGGACCUACUGAACCACAUUGUCUGCAUUACCCAUAGUAAUAGGUUUUUAUUUAUUUAUUUAUUUACUUGAAAGUCAGAGUUACAUAGAGAAAGAGAGGAGAGGCAGAGAGAAAGAGAGAUCCUCCAUCUGAUGGUUCGCUCCCCAACUGGCCGCAAUGGCCAGAGCUGUACCCAUCUGAAGCCAGGAGCCAGGAGCUUCUUCCGGGUCUCCCACGUGGGUGCAGGGGCCCAAGGGCUUGGACCAUCCUGUACUGCCUUCCCAGGCCAUAGCAGAGAGCUGGAUCAGAAGCGGAGCAGCCGGGACUAGAACUGGAGCCCACAUGGGAUGCUGGUGCUUCAGGCCAGGGCAUUAACCCACUGCGCCAUGGCGCCAGCCCCAACACAGUAAUAGGUUUUACAGAUAAUAAGGAUUGCUGGUGUGAAGGGUUCGCUGGGAUUGGAGGAAACUAUGGGUGUGGGCUGGGGAUGUGGUGGUUUCCGGUCCCUGCUGCAGUGCUUCCUGGCUGGCUGACUUGGUGUGUCACUCACUCUGUCCGGGCAUCCUGGGCAGGGAAGGGUUGUAUCUAUGUGUAUCUCUUUCAGUGGCCUAGAAGACAGGUUCAUUAAAUUUGAAUGAAUGAAUGCCUGCAGGAGUGAAGAUCGUAACCCAUGCUAUGCUGUCUUGACCGCAAUAACACAGGGAAAGGUCCCUGUGCAGUGUCCUGCACGUAGUAGGUGCUCACCUAGUGCGGUGCUUUCCCAUUCCCCUCGACAAUGACUUGUCUGUGGGUAACUCAUUCAGGUACACAGUGCACAUGUGGAGGAGAUGACAGGCGCUCAGAGACCUGGCUGAGACCCAGGGCUGAUAAGCCCUUCCAGAGGGGGCCGACAUGGGUUUGGGAGGCCACCAGUGGAUGUCAGAUGUGUGUCCAGAGGGUUGCAGCUGUGAUCAGCAGCCAAAGACUGGGGCAACUCAGAGUAUGAGGUCUUGAGUAUAAAUGAGGGAAUUCAUGACCUAUCCCUUGCAAUGCCACUAGGAAAAUAGCGGAUUUCCCCUGGACCCAUGUUUUUAUAUGUGAGAAUCAAAUGAGGUAAUGAGGAGGUAACCGUUGUCUACUCUAUUGUGUUGUGAUGAUUUCUUCUCCAAGUGAGGCCUGCAGACCAGCGGUGUUAUUGUCACCUGGGAGCCCAUCAGAUAGGCCGACUCUCAGGCCAUGCCCUAGACUUAUUAAGUGGGAGCCUUAUUUUAAGGUGAUUCCCUGGCAAUUUACAAUACACACUAAAGUUGGAGAAGUAGAAGCGAAACAAUUAUAAGGGAUUUUUUGUUCUCUAAGUACAGCUGUUUCCUAGAGAGUUUGGAGGAAGGGCAGGCAAGGGGGAAGAACUGUGUCUUAUUUCUCUCUUUUCAGUACCUAAAAUACAACUGGCCUUUAACUAAUGUUGCAUGAGUCAAUGAAUAAAUGAAGAUCUUCACCGGUGUUGUCCUCCACUGCUUGGAGUUCUCUGCCGUGGCUCCUGCUGUACUAGCAGGAGGUUUCGUGGUGGGUGCAGCUGCCUUGCAGUCAGUGGAUGCCAGCUACAGACGCAGGCAUUUAGCAUGUGAUUAAGGACAGAGUAAUCCACUUAAUGUGGGUUGUGGGAGAUAUUUGGCAAGAACUGAGGUGCAGGGGUUGGAUUUUAGUUUCCAAAGAUAAUGCCUUUCCCAAUUAUUUAAAGCCCUCGGUAGCUUGGAUCACACCCAGACGGAAAUAAGCCUCCUUAAGACAGAAUUCCGCAAAUAGGACUCUUGCUCAUUUCUGUAGCAGAAUCCUGGCUCUAAUAGUCUAUUCAGGCUUUCAUGUCACAUGACACAGAAGGGUUGUCCAGCCAGAUCUUCAUGGAGCUGAGCCCAACCGAACUUACCACCUAUAAAGGAGAAAUAGUUUCUGCUUACUAGAUUUUGCCACCAGCUAAAUUAAUUACAGAAUUAAUCUAUUCCAUCACUCAACACAUUCUGUAGCGCUCGGCUUGAGGUUACCAUAGUGAGUAGCAAGCAGUCCCUGCUUCUUCCAAGUAAUUGCCAGGUGGCAAGGAUGGAAUAAGAACCAAGCAAUUAUCGUGAGGUUUGAGUAAGUGCAGACCCAGACGGGAGAGCAGAGCAGGCUGACCCAGGCCAGUAAGGGCGGAGGUGAUGGAGGGAGGCACCUCCUGCAGGAAGUGACCUGCAGGCUGAUACUGGACGGGUGAGUGGGAGGUAAACAACUGGGGGAGGAAAUGAAGCAAGGACAAAGAAUAGCCCGGGCCCAGUCCUAGAAAAAAAGACAGUGGUUGGAGGCAAAGGAAGUGAAGCAGUCAUGUUUCUGGUGGCUGCAGUGAUAGGCUGGCUGCCUGUGGGUAUACAGUAGUUUCUCCUCAUCUGUGAUUUCAAUCACCCAGCAACUCUGGGCUGAAAAUAUUUAAUAGAAAAUUCCAAAAACAAUUCACAGGUUUUAAACGUGUGCCAUUUUGCACAGCAAUUUCACAUUUAUUAAAAUAUAUCUUUGGAGCUGGCAUAGUGGCAUAAUGGAUAAAGCCACUGUCUGUGAUGCCAGCAUACCAUAUGGUGAUAUUUCGAGACCCAACUGCUCCACUUCUGAUCCAUCUCCCUGCUAAUGUGCCUGGGAAAGCAGCAGAGGACGGCCCAAGUGCUUGGGCCCCUGCACCCACGUGGGAGACCCGGAAGAAGCUCUGGGGUCCUGGUUCCGGCCUGGCUCAGCCCUGGCCAUUGCAGCCAUUUGGAGAGUGAACCAGCAGAUGGAAGGUCUCUCUCUCUCUGUAUCUCUUCCUUUCUCUCUGUAAUUCUGCCUUUCAAAUAAAUAAAUCGAUAUUUAAAAAUUUUAUCAUUAUUAUAAUUAUUCUAUAUUAUUAUUGUGCAUCUCUUACUAGGCCUAAUUUAUAAAUUAAACUUUACCAAAAGUAUGUAUAUAUGUACAGGAAAAAAAACUUGUGCAUCUAGAUGUGAGUACUAUCUGUGGUUUCAGGUGUCCCCUGGGGAUUUUGGAAUGUAUCCCUCACCAAUAAGGUGGGACUGCCAAAUAUGUGGAGUUUGAAUAUGAUGAGAGGUGAGGCUGAGGGGGAAAGUGAGGGAAAAAUCACAAGAGGUACUUUGAAUCCUCCCAGGAAAUUCACAUUUUAUCCCAAGGCUGGUCGAGGAAAUCUCCAAAAGAUCCGCUGUUAGUGGGGUCGGAUUCCUUUUCCAGUAAUGGACCCUUGGACGUCUUUGUCCAGUUAGCCUCCGUAAUGGACCCUUGGACGUCUUUGUCCAGUUAACCUCCGUAAUGGACCCUUGGACGCCUUUGUCCAGUCAGCCUCCUUGGACACUUGGACCUCUUUGUCCAGUCAGCCUCCUUGGACACUUGGACGUCUUUGUCCAGUUAACCUCUGUAAUGGACCCUUGGACGUCUUUGUCCAGUUAGCCUCCGUAAUGGACCCUUGGACGUCUUUGUCCAGUUAACCUCCGAAAUGGACCCUUGGACGUCUUUGUCCAGUUAGCCUCCGUAAUGGACCCUUGGACGUCUUUGUCCAGUCAGCCUCCUUGGACACUUGGACGUCUUUGUCCAGUUAACCUCCGUAAUGGACCCUUGGAUGUCUUUGUCCAGUUAGCCUCCGUAAUGGACCCUUGGAAGUCUUUGUCCAGUUAGCCUCCAUAAUGGACUCUUGGACGUCUUUGUCCAGUUAGCCUCUGUAAUGGACCCUUGAACGUCUUUGUCCAGUUAGCCUCCUUGGACCCUUGGACGUCUUUGUCCAGUCAGCCUCCUUGGACCCUUGGACGUCUUUGUCCAGUUAGCCUGCGUAAUGGACCCUUGGAUGUCUCUGUCAGUGUGGCAAUAGGACAGGUUUGGGUGCCUCGCACUGCCCUCACGUCACCUGCUUUGAGCUGGGCUCUGCUUCUUGUUUUGCCUCUGUUUACGCUAACCACACACAUGUCCUCAGUGUUAUCUUGUGCUUAUUUCAAGGAGCACAUUUCUCCAUCAAGGCCUCCAGCAGCUGCUCGGCGUCCACUACCAGGGCUUCCUUUCUGGGGCCCCCCUGCCCAGUGGGGCAAGUGAGGUGCUGCCUGCUUACAGCCCCAGCUGCAGUCAGCGGCCCUGCUGGGUCUCACCAGUAGCCUCACCACGGCACUUUCUAGAGACAGUAGGUCAGAUCACUGCUGUGUCAUCAUCUAUACUCUUUAGUGUUCCAGCCACAUGGAGACUGCCUGCACAGCCAGAGCCCCCAUUGUGAGCUGUCACCAGUCAAAGGCUUUUAAGAGGCCAGGGGGUGGUGCGGUGGCCAGACCACAGGCUUGAGGGUCGGAAGUGCUGGCCUGAAUUGUGGCCCCUUCCUGCCCUUGGUGUGUGACCUUGGUGAGUCAUUUGAGUCACAGCUUCAGUUUCCACAGCUGUAAAAUGAGGACAAUGAGCACACCUGCCUUGUCCAUUCUUAGGGUGGGGAUGAGAUCAAACAAGACGGUGCAUGGGAAAGUACUUUGUGAAGUUCCAUAAAAGAGUGGGCUUUCAUUAGCACAGUGGCCACCGCUGGCGCAGCCUCUCAGGGCUGGAGCCCGUUGUACGCUUCUCACCCACACAGCGUAUCAGCACUAUCCUGUCCGAGGCUUUCCGGCUAGGUUUCAUUUUAUCACCACUCCUACACUCAAUCACGCAGCAGACGACUCAGAGAGAGACGAUUUGUCCAAACGUAAACCUGAAGUUCAUCUCUAAUUGUGGGAACCCAAUAAUUUUUGGUGACACAGCUAACUAUGAAAGGGCAUCUGGUGAAUCUAUGGAAGGCAAACACAUCCAGUUCCUUCUCUUACAAGUAAUUUUUCCUCUCGAGCUUCUUGCUGGCAGUUUCUGAAAUGUAAUGGAAAAGUAUUAAAUUUCAGCUCAUUUCAUACUAAAUGUCCUACUAAAAUUUUUUUCCUACUAAAAUUUCCUACAAAAUUUCCUACUAAAAUUUUUUCGUGAACUUUUUUUUAAAAGAUUUAUUUAUUUAUUUGAAAGUCAGAGUUACACAGAGAAGGAGAGGCAGAGAAAGAGAGAGAGAGAGAGAGAGAGAGAGAGAGAGAGAGAGGAGGGAGAGAGAGAGAAUCUUCUAUCUGCUGGUUCACUCCCCAGUUGGCUGCAAGGCUGGAGCUGCGCCAAUCCGAAGCCAGGAGCCAGGAGCUUCUUCUGGGUCUCCCACGUGGGUGCAGGGGCCCAAGGACUUGGGCCAUCUUCUACUGCUUUCCCAGGCCAUAGCAGAGAGCUGGAUCAGAAGUGGAGCAGUCGAGUCUUGAACCAGCCCCCAUAUGGGAUGUGUGCACUGCAGGUCGCGGCUUUACCCGCUACCCCACAGCUCCGGCCCACUUUCUUCGUUUUAUUUUCUGUCUUCCCUCAAUGGACCAAAAUCUCCCUGAGGACAGGAACUGGGUCUCAAUCACCUUGGCCCACUGCUAUUUCUAGAUGCAGUGUGGAGUGAAUCACCAUGCCCGACACGUGCCAGCCCUCACCAGGCUGACAGCAGCUGCCUCCUAGCUCCUUGCUCUGACUUCCCUUGGCCCCAGCUCUAAGGCGAGCUUCCAUAGCAGCCAGGGGGCCUCUGAGACAUGAGCCAGCUCAGUGCUCCUCCUGCUUAGUGCCUUCUGAUGACUGCUGUGGCACAGAGUAGUGAGCCUUGCAUCACCUGGACCAGGCUGAGUUCUAACCUCAUCUUUGUCCAUUUUGUCCUCACAAAAUGCUCCAAGUUCCAGCCACCAGGAAACCACUAUGAUUUCCUGAAUGCAGCCUACCUGCCCACCUGCACAUAGUAACUGAUAUGAUUCAGCAUUUGCCAUGCCAGGUACUUUAGAACUACUCUCUCGCCAUCAUUUAUGAAUCUCACACAACUCCCUAUGUCAUAGUUAUUAUCAUACCCAUUUUAUAGAUGAGAAAACUGAGGCUUGGACAGGAAAGGAUACCUGCUUCAGGCCAGGGAGUAAAAGGCAGUUAAAGGAUUAUAAAUGAUCACAUUACAUUGAAGAAGACAGUAGUUUCUUCACUGAAAGGACUUGGUGGGGAGCAGGCAUUUGGUCUAGUGGUUCAUAUGCCAGUCUAUCAGUCUUUCUCUCUGCCUUUCAAAUAAACAACCAUUUUAAAAGACCUUGGCUCUAGCUGAGCAGACGUGAGUCUUCCAGAAUGAAGACAAACACUGGAGUAUGGUGUAAGAGCCACUAAAUGACUCCUCCAGUGGAAGUUCAAGGGUGCCGUGCAAGCAAGAAUCCCAUCCGGCACUCACAACCACAUCCUACACUGGAUCGCCAGAGCUCGGGUCCUGGCUCCACUCCUCACGCCAACUUCCUCCCAGUGUUUUCCCUGACAGGCAACAGGUGAUGACUGAGAGAGUUGGAUCCCUGCCACCCAUGUGGGAGACUUGGAUUAAGUUCCAGGCUCUUGGAUUUGGCUUGGCCUGGCCCCAGCUGUUGCACGCAUUUGGUGAGUGACCCAGUAGAUAGGAGGUCUCUGUCUAUCUGAGGGAAGGAAAAGCUGUUGUGGCCAGGGGUGCGUCAGCGGAGUAGGCUGGGGAGGGGGCAGUUGUAUCAGCAGGGGGGCCCCGAGCAGGCAUGAUCAUUUUUGUCAAUGCAGAGGCCCCCUGGAAAGGGGGGUUCCACCCACAUGGAGAGGGACAAGAAUGUGGGGGUGAGGCCGGUUCCCAGGGCUCUCCUGGGCCAGGCUGAGGAGCUGGGACUGCUGCUUAGAGAUGGUCUGAGGGAUACUGAUGAACUUCUGGCAGGGAGGUGGUUUGAAUUCAGUAUUGUUUGGGGGAAAAGGAAAAGAAAAUAUAAGCGUGAGUUGAACAGUGGGAGGGAGUGGAUCUGCAGCACCCAGUAGGGAUAGUUUUGUAACAGCCCUGACACAACACCAAAGCAGGGACUAUGCAAUUACAAAGCAUAGGGCUGCUCCCACAGCAUUCAAAGCCACCUUGGUCUAUGAUUUGCUGCUUAAGGACACUGCUAAUCCUACUGUUAUUGAUGCCUGAGGACAUCAGAGCUAUUUUGGGGACAACGCCCUCCCUCCAGGUGGCCAUUGGCCGGUGUGUGGACCUUAAAGGGACCUUGGGUAAGGCCACGAGCCCCAGGUCCCAGGCCUGGCCCUUGACCCCUGGUGAGAUAGCCUUGAGCAACUGGCUGAAGCUGCCAGGGUGAUUGCCACAUGUGUCAUGCCAGGUGAUUGGCUCAUCUUGUCCACUCAAUCAAAUAGGAAAUCUAGCUCAGAAAUACUUGUCCAGGACCUGGGGAGUGCCUGCUACGUGCGAAAUGCUGAGGGCCGCGCUGGGGUCAGAUCUUGUUCAUCGCCACCUGAUGGACAAGACACCCAAGGAGGCUGCCAUUAGUCGCUACUUCUGCCUGUAUUAAACUGUGCGUGUCCGUGUGUUAAAACCUGCGUUUCAAAGCAAGGGGAGAGGAAGGGCUUGCUGGUGAGCAUCCUGUCUGACGUGGAGGUGCGAGAGGUCACACGAAGGCACUGGAAGAGCCCAUCCAGGGCUGACAGCGGCUCCAGUGCCCUUGGGGUCCUGUGCGGCAGGAAAUUCCACCUGCUCCAAACAAGCCAGAGGCCUCCAUAACCCUCAGCCAGGAAGGAACUGAAUUAUAGUCCUCCACAUGAGGAUUUAAUCAGACUGGCCCCUAGAGCACAAAGCAAACACGGAGGAGCACUUACCUCAAUCCAGUCAAACUCAGACUGGUCAAAUUCAUUGUUUUUUUUGUUUGUUUGUUUGAAACAUUCAUUCUUUUAUUCACUUACUCUGCAUUAAAAUUUUCUAAAAUUAUUUUAAUUGUACAUACUUAUGGGGUACAAUGUGAUAAUUUGAUAUAUCACUGUGUGAUGAUGAAAUCAGGUUAGCAUUACUAUUUCCUUAGACAUCUUUAAAAAUUUUUAACACAAUAAUUAUAUAUGUUUAGGGGUACAGGGUGAUAUUCCAAGAAGUGUAUGCAGUCUGUACUGAUCAAAUCAAGGAAUCUCCUUCAUACAGUCAGACUGGCUUCCGUCUUAUGUGAUAUUUGGCUUUGUGCUACUCUGCAUUCUUUAGAUACUCUGUCAUCACGUGUGUUUACUGGAUGGUUGAACUGAGCAGUCUUUAAGCUCCUUAUAUGUGGGGUAUAUGUCCUGUUAUCAACCUGCAUCACAGACACCAUGGACAGUGGGGACUACAUGUACAGCACAAGACCUUCAGACAAAUGAAUGGGACUAGACUCCAGCCUCUGCUCCACCUGAUGGAAUAGCCGAGAUGGAUGGAGACUUCUUCCAACAAGCAUCAGGCAUUAUUUGCACAGUAAAGUUUUAAGUAAAUCAUUCUGGAAGCUCCGUUCUCCAUGGACCACCAACCUUUGCCAUCAGGCUUCCGGAUCUAUGGCUGGUACACACCCAGUUCUCAGGAGCCCACCUCCUGGGAGCCUCUGCCUGGCUUCUGUCUCAUCCACUUCUGUUUCUUCCUCACGCUGGGAGUAGGAGAAGCAGAAGAAGCUGCACUCACUCAUCUUUACCCAGAGGCUGUCAGAAGAAACUAACUGCCCAAAGGCCUGCAUGUUGUGACAGCACCUCCCGUGGGCAUUGCCGCACUGUCUCAGAGGCUUUCUUCCACAUGCAUGUGUGAAAUGUAAGUGUGUGUGUGUGUGUGUGCGUGUGUGUGUGUGCCAUGUGAAUACCCCAAGCGGCUGAGAAGGCAUUUUCCAAUCCAGAAAUUAAUGGGCAAGUUAAGCAAUCAGGACAGUAUAAAGUCUUCAGCAAGAGUUGCAACAAAAAUUUAGGGCACAGAGCACCAAGUGUUUAAUAGAAUGCAGACUGAUGGCAUCUAAAGUGGAACAAUCGCUGCAGGCCCUCUCGGCUCCAGGACGCGAACGGUGCGCUCUGUGGAUUCGCAGUGGGACCCCCACAUGCCUGCCUCCCAAACGUACUCGACAAAGAAUCCAGUGGGGCAGCGGCAGCUUUCUUGGAGGCCAGUGUCCUGCAGUACGUAGUUUGAGAAAUACUGAUGUAUGUACUGUUGAUUCAGUAAUUUAAUUCCAUUCGAUAACUGACUAAUUCCUGGGGACUCAAAACAUGGUCCAUGACGCAGUGGCACCAGCCUCCUCCAGGAAAUACAGCAUCCACCUUCUACCUCCCUUGCCCCCACUUCUUUGACAGAUUUGGAAUGGGCAAUUUAAUAGGAUUUUCAGGUCAUACACAGGGACUUAGACUUCAAGACAGAUGCACUGCUGUUAAGGACAUGAACGCUCUUGAUAAAAAUGGGAUUCACCAUCUAGAGUUUAAUUUCACAGGGUGUGCGUCACACAUUUUUUAGAAUAAUGUACGAAAAGCACAGGCAACAGAAAACGUAUCUGAAUCCUGUGCUUUCUCGGACUGCCAGCCCAUGGAGCACUUUUCUCUGCAGGCACAUUCUGCAGCUGCCUCACUCGGACCCGAAACCCCCGGGAGCCCCCAGGUGUCUCCUGAGUCCUCCUCCUUUCCCUUUUCAGUAGAGAGUGCAGUCCCAUAGCCUGGCCGCAUUUGGAACAGAGAGACAGGCAGCCACAUCGCAUUAGCUGAUGGCAGUGGGUGGCGAGGGGUUCCAGCUGGGAGCACACAGCCAAAGCCCCCCGUAAUGGCCCCGUCAGCUGUCAGGCUGUAAACACAUUUCUUCCCAUUCAGUGCCUCAUUUGCGCCUCUCUGACCUCUGUGGUUCUCGGAUCCAGGCCACGUGGCCCAGAUGGCAUAAUCUGUGAGGCCAAAGCAGGUGACAGUAGGGCUGCUGUUAGGUAAUCAGUGACUAUAAUUAGCUGGGCUGGAAACGAUAAUGGGACCAACUGCAGGGCCAGGGGGAGGGCUGCUGGGGUUAGGGGAAAGCCCUGGAUGGGUGGAGAACCAGCAGGGGAGAAAGGCUUGCUUCCUCCCUCCCUCCCUUCCCUCCUCUCCUAACAUUGUGUUUUCUGUGUGUGUCCCGAGGCUUCAUUCACAAAGAGGUCAGAGCCGGGCACUGGCAAUUCAGUGAGUGAGUUGUUAGGCAGCUGAUCAGUUUUGUUUCACAGAAGCGUUUCCAGAAAUCUAUGGUUCAGUUUGGCUAAGCAGUCGGCUCUAAAGGUUUUGUGGGAGCAAGUGUGGAGGAGGGCUAUGAGAGGGUUAGAAGUUGACUGUUAGGAGUCAGACACACUGACAUCCCAUGUCAGCAGCUCAGGCUGGCUCACCAGCCUCUGUGUCUCCCACACUGGAUCCCAACACUCACCCUGAGGCUGUUGGGGUCAUGUAUCUCCAGCAAUAUUGCCAGAAACAUACAUGACGUGCAGUAGGUCCUCUGGAAAUAUCCCUUUCCUUCUUGAUGGCUAUGACUUUGUACGUGAUGCGCAUACAACGGAACCAAUUAAUGACAAUAGCAAGGACAAGGAGAAAUCUCCCAGUACAAAUGUAAGAAGGACUCUGUGAAUAGGGGAAACUCGGUUAUGUUUGUCAAAAAAGAGGUUGAUAAAUGAAGCUGGAAGUGUUUGUAACUUAUACCAGGAGGAGAACAGUUCUGUAUUUUCUGAAUCAAAGUGAGAGAGAUGGGGCAGGGCAGUCAAGGUGAAGAAGAUGUGUCUGUGACGUCGCCCGCCGUCCAUGGCUGGCUGUCGAGGAACGCAGCACAGUGUUGUGGCGCUCACUGGAAGCAUUGUUGAAGCAGGGUCACUUUGCCUUAGCUGAAGGUCUAUAGUGAAACUCUGCUGUCCAUCGUAUGUCCUCUCCUCACCUGCAACCAUUUUUUCCUUUCUUUUCUUACUUAAUUAAUAAAUAUGUGUGUACCCAUAAGCACACACACACACGCGUGAGCACACACACACACACAGGAGGAAAAUUCAAGAUUCAUAGAAAAUAGAACUAAAAUAUAGGUAUAUUUUGCUGUUAAAGUUUCAAAAUCUAUGCAUAGUUUUUUUUUUACAAUACACAUUUUCCAUGAAGUUCCUUUAAUUGUCCCCUAGAGAUACAAAAGCAAAAACCAACUAACUAUGAUCCAGAAAAACUAGCCAGUUAAUUUGGAGUAGAUCCAUUUAGACACAGAUAUUUCUUCAUCAAUAUGAGUCAUAUUGACUUCUUGGAGAAUAAUUUCUCCCUCCAUUUAAUAUGCAGUUUUGUAUUUUCUACCUUCUUUACUAACUGUUAAGGCAUGAAGAGUUCUACCAAUCUUUUUGUACUAUUAUCUUUUUAAUUUAAAUAAUUAGCAUGCCCUAAAAUUCACAUUGUAAAAUGUAUGCUCAGUGGUUUUUAGCAUCUUCUUGAUGUUGGACUACCCUGACCAGUACUGAAUUCUGGACAUUUCUCCCAAAAGCAAUCUCAUUGCCAUUUGAAGUCACUCUCUAUUUCUGUCUCCCUUCAGCCCCAAGCUAAUAAUAAUUAGAGUACUAUGAGAUGUCAUUAAUUAUCAGCCCAUCUCCUCACAGCUGGAUAGGAAGUUGCUUACAACCCCUGGUUAAUAGUAACUAGAGUACCUUGAGAUGCACUGGGUUAUUGAUUCAACUCCUCCCAGGUGGAUAGGUAACUUGCUUGCAUCCCAUAGUUAAUAGUAACAGGGUUACUGUGAGAUACCAUGAGUUACUGAUUCAGCUCCUCACAGUUGGAUGGAAAAGUUGCCUACAACCCCUAACUGAUAGUACCUGAACUGUGAAGUGCCCCAAGUUAUUUGUCCAGCUCCUCAUAGGUGGAUCGGUAACUUGCUUAGAACCCAUAGUUGAAAGUAACCUUGGCUCACUGGGUUAAUCCUCUGCCUGCGGCACCAGAAUCCCAUAUGGGCACCAGGUUCUAGUCCCUGGUUGCUCCUCUUCCAGUCCAGCUUUUUGCUGUGGCCUGGGAGGGCAGUGGAGGAUGGCCCAGGUGCUUGGGCCCCUGCACCCAUGUGGGAGACUGGGAAGAAGCACCUGGCUCCUGGCUUCAGAUGGGCAUAGCGCCAGCCGUAGUGGCCAUUUGGGGAGUGAACAAAAAAACGGAAGGAAGACCUUUCUCUCUGUCUCUCUUUCUCUCACUGUCUAGCUCUAUCUGUCAAAUAGGAAGGAAGGGAGGAAGGAAGGAAGGAAGGAAGGCAGGAAGGCAGGCAGGCAGGAAGGCAGGAAGGAAGGAACCAGAGUACUCUGAGAUGCCCUGGGUUAUUGAUCCAGCUUCUCACAGUUAGAUGGGAAAGUUGCUUACAACCAUGUGUCAUCUAUGAUGACAAACAACGUGUAGGGGCUGGCACUGUGGCGCAGCAGGUUAACGCCCUGGCCUGGAGCGCUGGCAUCCCAUCUAGGUGCUGGUUUGAGACCUGGCUGGUCCAUUUCUGAUCCAGCUCUCUGCUGUGGCCUGGGAAAGCAGUGGAAGAUGGCCCAAGUCCUUGGGCCCCUGCACCCACGUGGGAGACCCGGAAGAAGCUGCUGGCUCCUGGCUUCGGAUCAGCGCAGCUCCAGCCGUUGCAGCCAGGGAGUGAACCAUCGGAUGGACAAGCUCUCUCUCUCUCUGACUCCCCUCUCUCUGUGUAACUGACUUUCAAAUAAAUAAAUAAAUCUUUAAAAAACAAAACAAAACAAAAAAAACAAUGCUGUAGUGAUCAGUCUGUGAAAUUUUGAUCCAAUUAGAUCAUACUUUUGAGUUGUAUCAGCAUUAACAUGCACACACACACACUACCUUAAGUUGAUAAGUUUUACAGUUUUAGAUGAUGUGGUUAUGGGAAAAUUCAGAAUUAAAACAAAUCU